rnacentral:tRNA from 1 species
GUCAGUGUAGCUCAGUGGUAGAGUGCAUGCUUAGCAUGAAUGAGGUCCUGGGUUCAAUCCCCAGUACCACCA